rnacentral:rRNA from 1 species
CUACGUGCCAGCAGCCGCGGUAAUACGGAAGGUCCAGGCGUUAUCCGGAUUUAUUGGGUUUAAAGGGAGUGUAGGCGGUUUGUUAAGCGUGUUGUGAAAUUUAGGUGCUCAACAUUUAACUUGCAGCGCGAACUGUCAGACUUGAGUACACGCAACGUAUGCGGAAUUCAUGGUGUAGCGGUGAAAUGCUUAGAUAUCAUGAAGAACUCCGAUUGCGAAGGCAGCAUACGGGAGUGUAACUGACGCUUAGGCUCGAAGGUGCGGGUAUCGAACAGGAUUAGAUACCCUGGUAGUCCGCACAGUAAACGAAGGAUGCCCGCUGUUAGCGCCUGGCGUUAGCGGCUAAGCGAAAGCAUUAAGCAUCCCACCUGGGGAGUACGCCGGCAACGGUGAAACUCAAAGGAAUUGACGGGGGCCCGCACAAGCGGAGGAACAUGUGGUUUAAUUCGAUGAUACGCGAGGAACCUUACCCGGGCU